GGAUCAGGUAGGGAUACCCGCUGAACUUAAGCAUAUCAAUAGGCCCGGAGGAA
rnacentral:rRNA from 1 species